rnacentral:rRNA from 1 species
GACGAACGCUGGCGGCGUGCCUAAUACAUGCAAGUCGAACGCAGUGGGGACGGGUGAGUAACACGUGGGUAACCUCCCAUCAGAGGGGAUAACACUUGGAAACAGGUGCUAAACCGAUACUGAUGGAUGGACCCGCGGUGCAUUAGCUAGUUGGUGAGGUAACGGCUCACCAAGGCCACGAUGCAUAGCUGACCUGAGAGGGUGAUCAGCCACACUGGGACUGAGACACGGCCCAGACUCCUACGGGAGGCAGCAGUAGGGAAUAUUCGGCAAUGGACGAAAGCCUGAUCGAGCCACGCCGCGUGAGUGAAGAAGGUUUUCGGAUCGUAAAGCUCUGUUGUUAGAGAAGCGGUAUCUAAAGAGAAAGCAACGGCUAACUACGUGCCAGCAGCCGCGGUAAUAC